GAGUGUGGCUGCCCGCAAUUUUGAAAUUUUUAAUGAAAAAAUUACCGGUUGUAUUUUCACCCUCACUCGAAUUAGGUUCCCAAAUUCCCCCAACUUCCCAAUUAAAUCGCCCAUCCAUACUAUUCUGCUCUCCUCUAAACCUGGACUCCAUCAUCAGCGACAAAAAAAUCAUUCCUUUUUGGUUAAUUUAUGGGUUUUGCUUGCUAAACUUCAAGGAAUUUGGGGGGUUUUUGGCUCGUCACUUUCAUAAAUUUGAGUUGGUGUUGAACAAGAAUCGAUCUCUUAUUACGAGGUUUUCCCCUGAAUAGAUGUUUGAUGUUAUUGCAGCUGUGGAUUUCUGGUUGAGAGUUACAUUUCACAUGAGGUUUUAGACAAGCCAAAGUUUAUUAAGGUACGAUUUCAUUGCAUCAAACAUCGAUAUAUUCAUAAUCUUGUCUAAUUUUGUUAUGAUUGAGUAAUUAACAGUGAAAAUGCAAUUGUACACCAUCUUGAAAGUCUCAAUUUUAACCUAAAAGCAAAUACAUGGGAAACUAAAUGCCCAUGUAAUAAGUGCAAGUUAAAUAAAAUGAAUUCCGUAGAAGAAGUUGGAGGGCAUAUUUUAUUUUAUGGUCUUUAUAAAAACUAUAGAAAUUAGAUAUUUCAUUGUAAAGAUGCAGGGAGUAAGACCUAUGAUCUAAGUGAUGAUCAAUUAAAUGCAGUAGGUCGAGAUGAUAUGGACGGGUUACUAAGAGCAGCUUUUAGAGUUAAUACACAACAAACCGACAAAACUCAAGAUUCAUCAUUUAAUGAACAAAGUAUUGAAGAUGACAAUUCAUAUGACAUGGAUGAGGGGUUUACCAUUUAUCGCGAGGUAGAUGAUGAGUGUCAAUCAACUUUCUCAAAUGAAGAACGGGCAAAGUAUAAAAAUCUCAUGGAAGCUUCUGAAAAAGGCUUGUGUUUCGGGGGUUUUUGUCCCUUGGGAGAGUUACAACACUAAGACUGGAUUCAACAAAGGGCGCUUGUACCUGCAAAGCAAACGGACCGCCAACUGGUUGGUGGUCUGCCUCCGAAGAUUAAGUUAGUAAGUAUUCGGAGUAAAACGUGCGGAAAUGAAGUUAUCUGCUCGGAUUCCAAGCUCAGGUAAGGUGCUGUCUGUUUCUUGAAAACGACAACUCUAUAUUAAAUGUGAAAGUGACGUGUUGUCUCGUAGUUAGUAUCCUCUCUCAUAAAUGUAGGAUUUGUCCCUAUUUAUAGGGUCUUUUUGAAAAGUGUGCCCUCCCUAGGAUCUGGUGACCUAGGGAUUAGGUCACGCCGUAAAACGGCGCCACAAGGUUUGGGUCCUAGAAGGCCGCCAUUCCAUAAGCAAUGCCUGAGUGACGCGUGUCACUGAGCCCAAAAGGCCUUUGGGCAUCUCGUAGGGUGACACGUGUCGCCCUCUUAAUGGUCCGUGCUGGAUCAUCAAUCAUCUCAGAACGGGGGAAUGUCUGCCUACCACGUGUCACCAUCUCAAAGGUCCAGAUGGCACCCCUUCUAAUGACACAUGGCGGCUUCCGAUUGGGCCACUUGGUCGGGUAUAAAAAUACCCAAAUCAUUUGCCCCUCACAGGGGUCACGUGCAUUGCACAUGACACUUGUGACAAGUGUCAUCAUCCAACUGGCAGGAUUUUCAAAUUACAUUUUGGGGGGAAAAAUUUGGGCUUACCCUUUCUAUAAAUAGGACGGUUUGACUCCCCUUUUGUUUUCACACCUUUGCGAAUAUUGGAGAAUCUCUGCAAUUUUGACUUUCAAAGACUCUCAAAGACCUAAACUUGUCAAGAAUCCGACGCUCGGCUUUCUGUCUGUCUGUUUCAGCAAACCAGGCGUCUCGUAAUACCUUCUUCUAAGGUAACCGCCUGCUCUCUUCUUUUACUUAAUCUUUCUUGCAUUUUUUCUUUAUCAAAUGGUUUCCCAAACGCACACGGCACGGCCUAGGUUGGCGAUCAGCCAGUCACCGGGGACGGCUGAAUCUAGAACUAGGAAUGCCGAAUGCUCGUUCGGGAACUUUCCUUUAAGUACAUCUCCAAAUCCGACAGUGUCUAAGCAUCUGCAAGACACGAUGGACAGAACAAAGCAGACGACGAGGAGAUAUAGGGCGGAUGGUUCCUUUUACCAUUCGCACAGUGAGACUGUCAACUCUGAUGGCUCCAUUAGGGUGCCUGCUAGUGAAAUUUUGAGCACCCCCCAAACCCUUCUUCUGACCUUCCCCAAACUCCAACCUAUUACUCUUCCCCUUCUUCAAGCGGCACCCCCAGUGAUACUAUACUGCGGGAAGACGACAGUGAAUACCAGGCCAAGCCUUCGGAACAGGCGUCGGAGGAGAGUCUAGGGGAGGACCCUGUUGGCCCCAGCCGACAGUCCCCUAGCUCUAGGGAGAGCUCUGAUGACGAUUCAGCCUCGUCAUCUUCUGAAAAUGCCUCUGUUACUUCAGAGGAGGCCUGAGCAAAGAUAAGCACUGCAAGGGAAUCCUUGUCAGUGGAAAAGGGGGAAGGCUGGGCGGAGCCGAGUGCUUCUAGGCGCUUGGAACGCGCCCCCUACUAUCACCAUGUCCCGCAAAGCAAGCGGACUUCUAUGACAUCCAAUCUUGCCAAUUUCAAGUGCAAGACCGUAAUGGGUCAUGGUUUUUCCUUGUCCGUUCCCAACAAGGAGGAUACGAUAACCUGGCCAACCUUGGCCAGUUAUAAGGACCAAGCAUUCGGCUGCUACGAGGCGGUCCUCCAGGCUGGUCUACGCUUCCCUCUCCAUCCGGCUAUGGAGAGAAUGCUGGACGGAUACCAACUGGGUAUCUGGCAACUUUUCCAGAAUUCAUGGAUUAAUAUCACCAGGUACGUUGCCGCAUGUGAAAUGCUGGAGGUGGAUCCCAGCUUUGAGGCAUUUCCCACAUGCAUUAUCUCAGCCGAGCACUUGCUAAGGGCGGCAAAGGCUGGUACACCUUGUCCACCUGCAAGGGGUACAUGAUGGCAGUCGGCAAGGAGAACAAGUGGAAGGAUUGGAGAACAAAGUUCUACAUAUUCCAUUCCUCUGAUAGCCGACUGAACCAGAAAUACAAUAGGUGGAACAAGGAUUCGUACCUCCUAGCUGGCAAGAGUGCCUUGCCCCCUCUCCCUAAGCGGGCCUAGGAGGAAAUUUUUGACCGGGGUUUGUUCAAAGUGUCCAUUCGCACAAAUGAGCAGGGGCCAGAGCUACAUACCCCUUUACAAGUGGCUAGAAGAUGGGGUGUUCUUGGUCGCUUGUGGGAUAAGCUCUGAGAUGCCGAGAGGUAGUUGGCCGUCUGAUUUUAUGCAACCUUUAAAUUGCUUUUCAAUGUUUGUUUAUAAAGUCUAACUCCUGCUUCUAGUGCAGACAAAGCUAUGGAAAAGGUCUCGGCAACAAGGAAGCCGGUUGCUGUUUCUGCAGCAAAAUAUCGCUCGAACAUCCUUAAUCGAGCGAGUGACGAGCUGAAAACAGUCGGGACCCCAAGGUAGCUGUUUAUAACACGAUAUAUUUUUCAACAAAGGUUAAUUUUUGCCCGCUUGUUUUUCUGACGCCUUUCUUUUUGCUCAUGCAGAGUGGUUCCAUCAGGCCCUCUCCCUCCAAGCAAUCCCAACCCAAAAUCCAGAAAACUAGGGCUGGUGAUGUGAGUGCAUCCGGCAAGAACCGAAAGCACAUUGCUCACAAGCCCAAGAAAGGGGACGGCUCUACUCUCGAGGCUUAUAGGGAGGUCAGCAAACCGGAUGCUACUCAGGCAUCGAAGGGUGGCUUUAAGCAACCUAGUACUGCUUUCGGCUCAGUAGGAGAGAAGAGGCGUCACGGGAAGGAGGAGGAGGUUCACCCAGACGGUAUAAACCGCGUCUUUAUUGAAUUUCUACAUCAAGAUAGUUUCUUAGAACUUCUUUGACUAACUUUAAUUUUGCAGCUCCUGUGCAAAGGUCGACUGUCGUCCAGAUGGCCAAGGAGAUGCUGAGGGCGCUUGACCUAGAGGACAAGGCGUCCGUAAGAGGAGUCGACACCCUUAACUUGGAUGCCAUCUUGGGGAACCUCUGUGAGGUAAAAAGUUAACUUAAUUUUCUUAUUAGUUAAGCACAUGUCCGACUGGUCUUGACCAUUCAGCUCUUUUCUCAUUUUCAGACUAUGCUGCGUAUCCAGGGGCUAAGAAGGCCAAUCUAGGAGAAGUCUAAAGUGGUAACAGCCGGUAAAGCUUGAGCCGAGUCCGCCUUAGACUGAGCUCAAUUUGAAAUUGCUAAAAAUAAGCUUCUGACCCUUGAUAUGAUGUAUUCCUAGGCGGAUGCCAACCUGCAGGUAAAGAAGGACCUAGAUUCGGCUCACUCCAAAAUCAUUGACCUUAAGGCCGAAAUUAAAGGUCUUAAGGAAAAGCUUGAGCCUCUUCAAGAGGCCAAGAAAGAGGCCGAGAGAUCCAAGGAGCGGGUUGGCCGCCUGGAGGUACGCCUGGCGAACCAGGAGAAGCAGCUGAAGUCCAAGUUCAAGUCCCGAGCUGAGGAGGAGAAUGAGGCCCUUGUCAAACAAAUGAUGGAGGAUUAUGAGGCCAUCAUGUAGAUGGCAUAGGGGCGGUAUAGCCGGGUGCUGACUAUAGCAUCUGGAAAUCCAAGUUUGAUCAAGAAAACGAGGAUUUCAAUGCUGAACUUCUUCGCCAAUCUCAAGAGAAGGCGAACAAGGCUGAUGUUGAGGGCGAAGAGGCCGGCUCCUCAUCAGGCUCUUCUGGGGACGAGGAGGGGGACUAAGAGAAUGAUGAAAAUGCGAAGCAGCCGGAAGGUGAUGAUGCGGCCGCCAAUGUUGAUAACUCCCCUGCCCCUUAAGCUUUUUAUAAGCUCUUUCUGCGGCCGAACGACCAUUUAUCUCAUCUUCCGGCCUGCGUGCCGAGUAAAUGUGUAUCUUUACCGACCGAGGAGUCGAGUAAAUUAACAAUUUCUCUGGCUUUGCCAACAAACAAUCUUACCCAGUCGUCUGGUGACAAUUGGGCUUUUUAAUUUGAAAUUAUUCAGCUGUUUGGCUGAAGUUAUUCAUAUUGUUGUUCUUUAAAUUUUUUCAUUGCAUGUUUUUUUUACUAAGUAAUAUAACCUGUAUACCAUGCGAAUGUUCUUGCCCCUGGACGGAUGUCGAGUGGUUUUGGUU